GAUUCUGGCUCAGAACGAACGCUGGCGGCGCGUUUAAGCAUGCAAGUCGAGCGGCAAGGGCCUUCGGGCCCCUAGAGCGGCGGACGGGUGAGUAACACGUGGACAAUCUGCCCCCCGGCCCGGGAUAGCCCAGGGAAACCUGGAUUAAUACCGGAUGAGACGGGACCCGCGAUGGCGGGACCCGGGAAAGGCGCUGCGGCGCCGCCGGGGGAUGAGUCUGCGUCCCAUUAGCUAGACGGCGGGGUAACGGCCCACCGUGGCGACGAUGGGUAGCCGGCCUGAGAGGGUGGACGGCCACAUUGGAACUGAGACACGGUCCAGACUCCUACGGGAGGCAGCAGCUAAGAAUCUUCCGCAAUGGGCGAAAGCCUGACGGAGCCGACGCCGCGUGAACGAAGAAGGCCGUGAGGUUGUAAAGUUCUUUUCGGGAGGGGGAACAACCGUGGCAGGGAAUGGCCGCGGGAUGACGUGAAUCCCGGAAUAAGCCCCGGCUAACUACGUGCCAGCCGCUGC
rnacentral:rRNA from 1 species